GACGAACGCUGGCGGCGUGCCUAAUACAUGCAAGUCGAGCGGACCAAAGGGAGCUUGCUCCUGGAGGUUAGCGGCGAACGGGUGAGUAACACGUGGGCAACCUGCCUGUAAGACUGGGAUAACAUCGAGAAAUCGGUGCUAAUACCGGAUAAUAAAAAGAACUGCAUGGUUCUUUUUUGAAAGAUGGUUUCGGCUAUCACUUACAGAUGGGCCCGCGGCGCAUUAGCUAGUUGGUGGGUAACGGCUCACCAAGGCGACGAUGCGUAGCCGACCUGAGAGGGUGAUCGGCCACACUGGGACUGAGACACGGCCCAGACUCCUACGGGAGGCAGCAGUAGGGAAUCUUCCGCAAUGGACGAAAGUCUGACGGAGCAACGCCGCGUGAGUGAUGAAGGUUUUCGGAUCGUAAAACUCUGUUGUUAGGGAAGAACAAGUGCCGUUCGAAAGGGCGGCACCUUGACGGUACCUAACGAGAAAGCCACGGCUAACUACGUGCCAGCAGCCGCGGUAAAGU
rnacentral:rRNA from 1 species